CAUCCUCCAAGGCUAAAUACUCCUGACUGACCGAUAGUGAACCAGUACCGUGAGGGAAAGGCGAAAAGAACCCCGGCGAGGGGAGUGAAAAAGAACCUGAAACCGUGUACGUACAAGCAGUGGGAGCACAGGUUUACCUGUGUGACUGCGUACCUUUUGUAUAAUGGGUCAGCGACUUAUAUUCUGUAGCAAGGUUAACCGAAUAGGGGAGCCGUAGGGAAACCGAGUCUUAACCGGGCGUUAAGUUGCAGGGUAUAGACCCGAAACCCGGUGAUCUAGCCAUGGGCAGGUUGAAGGUUGGGUAACACUAACUGGAGGACCGAACCGACUAAUGUUGAAAAAUUAGCGGAUGACCUGUGGCUGGGGGUGAAAGGCCAAUCAAACCGGGAGAUAGCUGGUUCUCCCCGAAAGCUAUUUAGGUAGCGCCUCGUGAAUUCAUCUCCGGGGGUAGAGCACUGUUUCGGCUAGGGGGCCAUCCCGGCUUACCAACCCGAUGCAAACUGCGAAUACCGGAGAAUGUUAUCACGGGAGACACACGGCGGGUGCUAACGUCCGUCGUGAAGAGGGAAACAACCCAGACCGCCAGCUAAGGUCCCAAAGUCAUGGUUAAGUGGGAAACGAUGUGGGAAGGCCCAGACAGCCAGGAUGUUGGCUUAGAAGCAGCCAUCAUUUAAAGAAAGCGUAAUAGCUCACUGGUCGAGUCGGCCUGCGCGGAAGAUGUAACGGGGCUAAACCAUGCACCGAAGCUGCGGCAGCGACACUGUGUGUUGUUGGGUAGGGGAGCGUUCUGUAAGCCUGUGAAGGUGGCCUGUGAGGGUUGCUGGAGGUAUCAGAAGUGCGAAUGCUGACAUAAGUAACGAUAAAGCGGGUGAAAAGCCCGCUCGCCGGAAGACCAA
rnacentral:rRNA from 1 species